rnacentral:miRNA from 12 species
AUCCUAACUCGAGCAUUUAUU